rnacentral:lncRNA from 1 species
UGACAUAUUUCCAGAUUUAUUACUGUUUGGAAUACCAAAAUGCAUAGAAGUGAAUGAUGUUAGGAAAAAUCCACUACAGCUUUGAGACACUUGUUUUCCAGAGGUUGCUCUCCAUUACAGGUAUGUACCUACAGUUAAGGUUUGCUAAAAAUACCAUAGUUCAUUACUACUAUGGUUAUUUGGCCUUGAUAAUUCUGAAAAUGCAUGCUAUUUAUGUUUACACUGCACACACAUGAAUGCAUGGCAAGGUCCGAUUGAACACUGAAGGAAAAAGGCAGUCUUCACGUUGAGGAGUUUACCAGCUGAAAAUACAGGGGCAAUACAUGGUGAGGGUGUGUACAUGCAAAUAUAGGGCUUACCACACAGGAGCAGUCAGGCUGAGAAAGGUUGAGUCACAGGAGAGGAAUGAGCAAUGGCCUGUCAGGAAACACCCUCUCUCCUGGAGAAUCUAUCACAAAUACAGAAAGUUUGUCAAAGCUAAAUGCCUGCUCUGAGUACUGUGGAUGGUGUCUGGGACACCAGCAUACUGCUAGUUGGAGAAGCAGUCACCCCUUCCCAAGAGGAACUUCUCUGCCCGUGCCUUACAGAUGGCCUAAUUAUAAAGAAAGAAAAGAGAAACAUUGUGGAGAUGCAAAAGACAAGUUGGGAUUCCCCUCUGGCAGCUCCUCCUUCCAGGCUCUGUAGAAAUGAUUUUGUUUUUUGGGACAUAUAGAGGGACACUCAGUCUAUGUCUCACACACCCCAGCCAGUUACUCCUCAGGUCUCUUCAUGAGCGGUCAAUGGUCCAUGAUAAACACUCACUUUUGGAUGCCAUCUUUUCAGGAUCCUAAUGGUCCCUCUCCCAUCAGCUUAGGCUGAGUCUUUUUAUGCUGUACAUUUGAGGUCUGCCUUCUUCCCCUGCAUUAGGGCACAGACUUCAGGAAUUCUUCACAUUGGAGCAAUAGGACUUAAAUGGUAUUAUUUAUAUGUUUAUUUUCUGGAGGAAUGCUUGGCUUGCUGCAAUGACCAGAUCAUCUGUCCCAUUAAAAUGUUGGACUUUGGAGAUUGCUCAUGCUCUGUCAUUAGAACAAGAAACUUGGUUUGCCAGAUGGGCAUGUUCUUUACUUCAGCUCAAAUGGCAGUUUUAAAUAUCAGUUCCUCACAUAGCUUUUCUCUUGUAUCAAAGAGGAGAAAAUUACAAUUUCCCUCUGAUGCACUGUCCAGAGUUGGCAACUUCUAAACUAUGAAGAUAGGGAGGGGUGCUGAAUCUCUGCCUAUCUGUUACAAGAAACUAAUGGUGUGUAUCAUCUGAUUUUCCAGUGCCCACCAAAUCUUGAGUGGAACUUUUCCACAUCUUCAAGCCACUUUGCACAUGCACAGUUCCUUUCAGUGUUGAAACCUUUCUACCCUCCAUGUCGAUUAAAUCUUUGGUAUUUAUAGCAAGGAUUGACUGAGAUGGUUAUGUGCAGAAGCCACUCAGAGUUCUAUGUAAGAAUAUGAAAUGUUUAUCUCAUUUCAAGACUCCUGUGAUUUGUCCAAAAUACAGGGACAAUUUGUACUGAUCUGGGUGAGUCAAUUCCUAAGCUGUUUCAGUCCUGGAAGAAGCGGGAAAAAGAGAAUAAGAAAAUAGUUUGGCAUGUGGUAAGGACACAGAUAUAGGUGUAAUAGAGAGGAACUAAAAGAAGGAUGGAGCAAAUAGUGUGGAAAAAUGCCAGCAGAAAAGACUGGGGGUGGUGGUGGGGUGGAGCAUCUGAGCUUGUAAUGUCUGCAGUCAUUACGCAAUCUCUCGGGUUCAAGAUUUGUAUGACUGAGGAAUCAUCUUACCACAGCAUGCUGAGGAGCAUCCCAGGAGGAAACAGUAGAUAAGCACAGUAAAGACCUCAGAUCAUUCUGCAAGAGAAACAAAAUAAAAAUGAACAGGCAAAGCUUCCUGAAUGCCCC